rnacentral:sRNA from 1 species
UACUAGUUGAAAGUUGAUGCAACUUCCCUGAUGAGACUAUGCCAAUACAAAACUAGUG